GCCCUCCCCACGCUUCCAAAGAAUGAAAGGGAAGCAUUAUAUUUUUAGCUUAAAAGUCCUGGCUUUCAAGGGUUGGUAUAAAUUAACAUGGCGGAAGGGGGUACAUCCUAAGCCAAAAUGUUAACAAGGACAAUGGGCCUCUGAGAAAUCAACUUCUAGUCUUUUUUUUUUCCUGGACUUUCCAAAUUUUAAAUAAAUGAACAAGGGCUAUCUUU
rnacentral:lncRNA from 1 species